rnacentral:rRNA from 1 species
UGAACGCUAGCUACAGGCUUAACACAUGCAAGUCGAGGGGCAGCAUGGUCUUAGCUUGCUAAGGCCGAUGGCGACCGGCGCACGGGUGAGUAACACGUAUCCAACCUGCCGUCUACUCUUGGACAGCCUUCUGAAAGGAAGAUUAAUACAAGAUGGCAUCAUGAGUCCACAUGUUCACAUGAUUAAAGGUAUUCCGGUAGACGAUGGGGAUGCGUUCCAUUAGAUAGUAGGCGGGGUAACGGCCCACCUAGUCUUCGAUGGAUAGGGGUUCUGAGAGGAAGGUCCCCCACAUUGGAACUGAGACACGGUCCAAACUCCUACGGGAGGCAGCAGUGAGGAAUAUUGGUCAAUGGGCGAGAGCCUGAACCAGCCAAGUAGCGUGAAGGAUGACUGCCCUAUGGGUUGUAAACUUCUUUUAUAAAGGAAUAAAGUCGGGUAUGCAUACCCGUUUGCAUGUACUUUAUGAAUAAGGAUCGGCUAACUCCGUGCCAGCAGCCGCGGUAAUACGGAGGAUCCGAGCGUUAUCCGGAUUUAUUGGGUUUAAAGGGAGCGUAGAUGGAUGUUUAAGUCAGUUGUGAAAGUUUGCGGCUCAACCGUAAAAUUGCAGUUGAUACUGGAUAUCUUGAGUGCAGUUGAGGCAGGCGGAAUUCGUGGUGUAGCGGUGAAAUGCUUAGAUAUCACGAAGAACUCCGAUUGCGAAGGCAGCCUGCUAAGCUGCAACUGACAUUGAGGCUCGAAAGUGUGGGUAUCAAACAGGAUUAGAUACCCUGGUAGUCCACACGGUAAACGAUGAAUACUCGCUGUUUGCGAUAUACUGCAAGCGGCCAAGCGAAAGCGUUAAGUAUUCCACCUGGGGAGUACGCCGGCAACGGUGAAACUCAAAGGAAUUGACGGGGGCCCGCACAAGCGGAGGAACAUGUGGUUUAAUUCGAUGAUACGCGAGGAACCUUACCCGGGCUUAAAUUGCAGAUGAAUUACGGUGAAAGCCGUAAGCCGCAAGGCAUCUGUGAAGGUGCUGCAUGGUUGUCGUCAGCUCGUGCCGUGAGGUGUCGGCUUAAGUGCCAUAACGAGCGCAACCCUUGUUGUCAGUUACUAACAGGUUCUGCUGAGGACUCUGACAAGACUGCCAUCGUAAGAUGUGAGGAAGGUGGGGAUGACGUCAAAUCAGCACGGCCCUUACGUCCGGGGCUACACACGUGUUACAAUGGGGGGUACAGAGGGCCGCUACCACGCGAGUGGAUGCCAAUCCCAAAAACCUCUCUCAGUUCGGACUGGAGUCUGCAACCCGACUCCACGAAGCUGGAUUCGCUAGUAAUCGCGCAUCAGCCACGGCGCGGUGAAUACGUUCCCGGGCCUUGUACACACCGCCCGUCAAGCCAUGGGAGCCGGGGGUACCUGAAGUGCGUAACCGCGAGGAGCGCCCUAGGGUAAAACUGGUGAC